rnacentral:rRNA from 1 species
GACGAACGCUGGCGGCGUGCCUAAUACAUGCAAGUAGAGCGCACAGUUUAUACCGUAGCUUGCUACACCAUAGACUGUGAGUUGCGAACGGGUGAGUAACGCGUAGGUAACCUGCCUGGUAGCGGGGGAUAACUAUUGGAAACGAUAGCUAAUACCGCAUAAUAUUAAUUAUUGCAUGAUAAUUAAUUGAAAGGUGCAAUUGCACCACUACCAGAUGGACCUGCGUUGUAUUAGCUAGUAGGUGAGGUAACGGCUCACCUAGGCGACGAUACAUAGCCGACCUGAGAGGGUGAUCGGCCACACUGGGACUGAGACACGGCCCAGACUCCUACGGGAGGCAGCAGUAGGGAAUCUUCGGCAAUGGACGAAAGUCUGACCGAGCAACGCCGCGUGAGUGAAGAAGGUUUUCGGAUCGUAAAGCUCUGUUGUAAGAGAAGAACGGGUGUGAGAGUGGAAAGUUCACACUGUGAGGGUAUCUUACCAGAAAGGGACGGCUAACUACGUG